rnacentral:lncRNA from 1 species
UUUCCUACAAAGAUAGAAACACAGUAAAAGAAAGAAAAAUGUAUUUAGUUUGUGGAAAAGAAUUUUGUUUCUAAUAAAGACGAAAUUGGAUUCGGGCAAUUGAUUGGAACAGAUUCUGCAAAAAUCUUCCGCUGUUAUUAACAGGUACACAAAUUCAGUGUCCUUGUUAUUCGAAUUUAACUGACAAUGGUAUCAAAGCCAGUGAUAUUAUUUUUUGGUUUAUAUCUUCUCCGUAGAUGCUAUUUUUUUUAUAACUGUUACAUCAAUUUUCUUUGGCACUGUCGCAGUAAUAGGUAGAAAACAUCAUGUUUGAUAACGAUUUUAGAAUUGUCAAUCCUUUCUGGAAAGGGAACAAAGUUCGUUUUGUAGUAUAACUAAUUACCAAUUAGUUUGUUGACGUCAAACAAUUAGUUUUUGGCUAAUGUCUAAUCUAUUAUUCAUACCAGAAGUUUUCUUGUAUAAGUUUAAAUUUGGCUUGGAACGCCCCGGUGCCAAGUGGGCAUGUCUCUUACGAUAAGGGCGAUCCAAGUAAGAGAACGACCCAAAUUGGUAAAGAAGAAGUGAAAUCGUUUAGUGCCUGACAUUUUUUACUGAGUGGAAGCCACCAACUUUUGUAUUUUAUUUUGAUUAUUUCGAGGAAUGUAUCCUACUAUAUAAAUGAGACUUUCACGUUGUAAUAGGAACCAUUGUGAUUCUCGGAUAAUACAACUUCUCUCUCUAUCUCUUUCUCUCUCUCUUGGUCUUCCAACUAUUGCUAUUCUCUUAAGCUAAGUCUACUUUUCCGUACAUUUACAGAUCUACAAACAUCUUGAAGUGAUAAUCAUCUGUUGAGCUUAUUAUAUUUGAUUACGAUUUACCCUUAUAUAUUUUCGAUUAUUUUUAAGCUUAUAAAGUACGAAUAUAAUUUUUGAGCUAAACAAUACUUAUAUUUGUUUUAACCUUCUUUGCCUAUUAUGGUGCUUUAAUUUGAGCAGAAGUGGCCUAGCACCAUGUUAUAUUUGUUUUAACCUUCUUUGCCAAUUUUAAUUUUAACAGAAGAGCCUAGCACCAUGUUAUAUCAUAGAAAGCGUAAGUUAAUAUUUUCUGUGAAUUUUUUCUUGACAUUCACAGAAUGUAGUGAUGAAUUCUUUUGUUGCUAACAAGAAAUAAUUAAAUUUGGAAAAUUGUCACAUAUAUUUCCAGGAAGUUUUCAUAAAGAUUGUUAUUUGUUAGACCAAUCUGUUUAAGUAAUGGCUGGUUAAAUAUAAUUGGUGGAAUAGAGCUUAUAAGCUUAUUAUCUUGCAAGUCUAUGGAAGUCAGGCAAAAAGGUCUACUGAUUUCUUGAGGAAUUUCUCCAACAAGUAAAUUGCUUCAUAGUCUUAAAUACCUUUUGUUAUAUCAAAAAGGGGAGAAGGGAAAUUACCUGAAAAUUGGUUAAACAAAGUACACGGAAUGGAAGUUUAGUAAUCUUAAUGUCUAUCAUUGUCCAUUUCAUUGAAUUAAAAUUAGUUUAGUAAUCUCUCAAUUGAUAUCCUUCUACAAGUAGUUGUGAUAUAUGUCGUCACAUUAAGUGGUUGUAGUCAUUCUUAUUGUUUCCUUGGUCCUUUUCAGAUAUGACCGAACAGAAACAAGUUCGAAUUACUCCAAGUGGAAAUUGUCGAAAUCAAGGGAGGGGACAACGUAGAAGGAUACGUCGUCGCAUAACUUAUUUUUAUAUUAAUUCAAACUCUGAGCCUGAAGUCAUCAGGAAUGUCCCAAGCGUGAGGCAAAAUGAGUUAAGGAAUCAAAAGGCUGAACAAAAGGAAAGAGAAAAGAAAUUUAGGGAGUUUAAGAAUUUAAAAUGGGCUUUAAUGCUUCCGUCCCUGUACACCCUUUUAAGAUAAAAAGAGCUGAAUUUGCUAAUUACAAAGUAAUACUGAUUGGGAUGCAUUAGCUAUUUUAGUGGUCUCUCUUCGAGAGCCUUGGG